rnacentral:lncRNA from 1 species
CAGAGUGAGGCUAUUGAUGAAAAUUCUUUCACAAAACCUUGCGGGCUAGCCAGCAGAGAGGAAGUUUUCUAGCCUGAUCUCGAUGUCGGUCAUGUGGAAUUACAGCAAUAAGGUCUGAGAGUUAGCUCUAAUGAGACCAUCAGCAGUGAUGAAGACUGCUUGUUUUGUGCUGGGAACUUAGGACCCUUCUUGGCCAAGGACUAUAAGAUUGGUAUCCAACUUCCAGUACUGGGAUUUUUGUUUACUAACUCGUUGCUUCUGAGAAUAGCUUGGUCUGUGCAUAAUGGCCAUCUCUGUUCAAGCAUCUCAAGGACCAUUUUGUUGGAGUUUGAGAGGAAAGCAAUAGGACAGACAUGGUAUAAAUCUUGUCAGCUGCUGGGAGGUGGCAGACAGAAAAGAAAGAGGGGCGAGGUUGGCAUGCAGCAGUAGACAGGAGCCUCUAGAAAAGUGGCAUGAAGGCCCACCCAGCCCACCAAGCUGAGUGUGAUGGAUCCCCUAAAACUGGAGUUAUAAACUGUGACCCACCAUGUGGGUGCAGGGGAUCACAUUCAGAUCCUCUGGAAGAGCAGCUAACCUUUUCUGCUGUGCCAUCUCUCCAGUCCUCCUUCAACAUUUCUUACUCUAAAGGUAUUUGCUUUUUUUCUUACUGCUGCCCCUUUCUGGGAAUGGUGACUGAGUGUCCUGCCACGUGCACACUCUAUGGUCCUCCCCAGUGUGGAGGCAGGUGUCAGUCAGUUUGUACAGAUCCCUGCAUUAGUCCCUCAUGGUGUCUCAGGUGUUCGAGCCAGUUGCUGUAGGUUCUCUAUUUUGUGGACAACAUAGUCAAAACUUCCUCUGUACUCUCACCUUAAGAAAGCUGUGUCUUGGGGCUGGGGAUUUAGCUCAGUGGUAGAGCGCUUGCCUAGCAAGCACAAGGCCCUGGGUUCGGUCCCCAGCUCCGGAAAAAAAAAAAAAAAAA